AGCGAACGCUGGCGGCAGGCCUAACACAUGCAAGUCGAGCGCCUCGCAAGGGGAGCGGCAGACGGGUGAGUAACGCGUGGGAACAUGCCCAAAGGUACGGAACAACUCCGGGAAACUGGAGCUAAUACCGUAUGUGACCGAGAGGUGAAAGAUUUAUCGCCUUUGGAUUGGCCCGCGUUGGAUUAGCUAGUUGGUGGGGUAAAGGCCUACCAAGGCGACGAUCCAUAGCUGGUCUGAGAGGAUGAUCAGCCACACUGGGACUGAGACACGGCCCAGACUCCUACGGGAGGCAGCAGCGGGGAAUAUUGGACAAUGGGCGCAAGCCUGAUCCAGCCAUGCCGCGUGUGUGAUGAAGGCCUUAGGGUUGUAAAGCACUUUCGCCAGGGACGAUAAUGACGGUACCUGGAUAAGAAGCCCCGGCUAACUUCGUGCCAGCAGCCGCCGCAGUAA
rnacentral:rRNA from 1 species